rnacentral:rRNA from 1 species
UACGUAGGGUGCAAGCGUUGUCCGGAAUCACUGGGCGUAAAGCGCACGUAGGCGGCUUCUUAAGUCAGGGGUGAAAUCCUGGAGCUCAACUCCAGAACUGCCUUUGAUACUGAAGAUCUUGAGUUCGGGAGAGGUGAGUGGAACUGCGAGUGUAGAGGUGAAAUUCGUAGAUAUCGGGAGGAACACCAGUGGCGAAGGCGGCGAUCUGGGAAGAUACUGACGCUGAGGUGCGAAAGCGUGGGGAGCAAACAGG